AACGAACGCUGGCGGCAUGUCUAACACAUGCAAGUCGAACGAGACCUUCGGGUCUAGUGGCGCACGGGUGCGUAACGCGUGGGAACCUGCCCUUAGGUUCGGAAUAACUCCCCGAAAGGGGUGCUAAUACCGGAUAAUGUCUUCGGACCAAAGAUUUAUCGCCUUUGGAUGGGCCCGCGUUGGAUUAGCUAGUUGGUAGGGUAAAAGCCUACCAAGGCGACGAUCCAUAGCUGGUCUGAGAGGAUGAUCAGCCACACUGGGACUGAGACACGGCCCAGACUCCUACGGGAGGCAGCAGUGGGGAAUAUUGGACAAUGGGCGAAAGCCUGAUCCAGCAAUGCCGCGUGAGUGAUGAAGGCCUUAGGGUUGUAAAGCUCUUUUACCCGGGAUGAUAAUGACAAUACCGGGAGAAUAAGCUCCGGCUAACUCCGUG
rnacentral:rRNA from 1 species